rnacentral:rRNA from 1 species
AUUGAACGCUGGCGGCAGGCCUAACACAUGCAAGUCGAACGGCUGCAGAGUGCUUGCUCGUUCUUUCGGCUGCCGACGGGUGGGUGAUGCCUGAGAACCUCCCUGUCAGUGUGGUCUUACGUCCGGACGCGGGCGCUAAUACCCCAUUAGCCCUGACGGCGAACGUGUGGAAUCUUCGGACCUCCCGCUCUCACGUGAUCCGAGGUCGGAUUAGCUAGUUGGUGGGGUAAAGGCCUACCAAGGCGACGAUCCGUAGCUGGUCUGAGAGGAUGAUCAGCCACACUGGAACUGAGACACGGUCCAGACUCCUACGGGAGGCAGCAGUGGGGAAUAUUGGACAAUGGGCGAAAGCCUGAUCCAGCCAUGCCGCGUGUGUGAAGAAGGUCUUCGGAUUGUAAAGCACUUUAAGUUGGGAGGAAGGGCAGUAAGUUAAUACCUCGCUGUUCUGACGGUACCAAAAGAAUAAGCACCGGCUAACUUCGUG